rnacentral:rRNA from 1 species
ACUUAAAUUGAAGAGUUUGAUCAUGGCUCAGAUUGAACGCUGGCGGCAGGCCUAACACAUGCAAGUCGAGCGGUAGCACAGAGAGCUUGCUCUCGGGUGACGAGCGGCGGACGGGUGAGUAAUGUCUGGGAAACUGCCUGAUGGAGGGGGAUAACUACUGGAAACGGUAGCUAAUACCGCAUAAUGUCGCAA